UCAGUGUCCUUGAAGAGGAGUUUCACAAAAUGAAGCAGCUGUCUGGUGGUUGGCUUUGCUAUAAAGCUGCAGGUGGGUGUGGCCAGAGAAAACUGACUGUGGUGCCACCUGAGUCAGAGGGCUACACAGCAAAUUCUUUAAAAACAGCAUCUAACAAUGGCAAGAUCACACUCUACAUUGUACCGCUACAAGACACGAUCGACACUUCGCCACUACCCCACAAGCAGCUGAAUUUGAGAAGAUGCCCAAAUCUAUUUGUAAAAAAUGUGGAGUAAUGAUGCCACUUCAAGUUUUGGCUUUGCACAUUGAAAAUUAUGCAUUAGAGUCAGAGAAUGCAUCUGUACGUUUUUUUGUUUAAAGGAACUAUGUCCAGUUUGUGGAAGGUCUUUUCCUGAAGACAUGGUUGAAUUUCACGCUAGUAUCUGUGUAGAUAAUUGCUCUGCAGAAAUGGAAAUGUUUUCAGAGUGGAAAGAGGAUGCUGUAGCCGGACCAUCCAACAGGCGAGAAUGUGGCCUGGAUGCUGUAGCCGGGCCAUUCAACAGGAGAGGUGGUGGAUGAGGAUUUCACCUUGGAUCUCAGGGAAGACCUGGAGGAGCAGGAUAGAGAGAUAAUUUCUUUGUACAAGCGACCAAAUGUCAAUUGGGCUAGGCCAUUUUCCUGUAUGCUCAGAGGUAGGCCCUAAUAUAUUUUUUUCUAUAGCUCGGGUCAUUACAUUGUACUUGUAACACUGGCAAAUAUAAACUUAUAAAAACAAAUGCAGUGCUUAGUGUUAUCUGCCAUAUUUUAUCUCUGUAAUUGUCUCUAAUCUGUACAUAUCACACUAUCC